rnacentral:lncRNA from 1 species
GCGCGGGGGCGGAGUGCGCAGCGCAGAUGCGGCCGGCCCGCGGGGCUCGCCUGCCUGCCCCUUUCCCCGCAGUUCCCCGCGACCCCUCCAAAGCCCCCGAUUGAAAUCAUCGUUGUGGUUGCUAUGCGGUCAGCUAGGGUUGCUAUGGAAGCACUCCUAAACUUAUCCUUCCGCAAACUGGUUGCCCUAAACUCUUCAUCAGGGGAGAUUCUGGAGCAGCCGCUGUUAGAACGGAUAACCACCAUCAUCGGCUCCGUGUCGAUUUAUCGAGCUGUUACUCAACUGUUAGACACACGGCCAAUCGCACACUGCCGCGUUCUGGAGCCGAGUGUCUCGGACUAGGCUCAGCAAAGUUGGGCAACUAACAAGAUGAUAUAGCCAAGAGAUAACAGAGUUUUCCAGGAAUUUCCUGAGUGUCACACUGUAAAUUCUGCCUCAACUUGGAUUUAAAUCAAUUAUCAUCUUGCCUAAGGUGGUGGUGCCCGCCUGUAAUCCCAGCACAUGGGAGGCCGAGGCAGGAGGAUCACGGCAAGGUUGAGAGCAGCCUGGGCUACAGCGUGAGUUCAAGGCCAGCCUGCACUAUCCAGGGAGAUCCUGUCUCAGAAACCACUGUUACUUCAUCGUUUUGUGAGAAAAGCCUUCCUAAGACCAUUUUAAUUAAAUUGGGUGGCCAUCGUUUUCUGUCCUUUUGAUCUUUAGUUUUUUUCGUAGCGCUCACCAGCAGUUGGUAUGGUACAUGUCUGCUUUUACUUUUUAAUCAUCUUCUCCUCAAACACCUAGCUGAGAACAGGGAUUUUUUUUCUUUAUGUUUGCUGCAUCCUCAACCCUUAGAACAAUGCCUGCACAUAGUAGGUACUCAGUAAAAAGGCAUUGAAUAACUAGAUACAUCUUUAUGUGAUCUGUAGAACUAUAUUGGCAGUCAGAUUUUGGCAAUAGUCAAGGACAGUCCCAGAGAUUAUAAGUAUGAUUUCACCACAGCAUACAUCAGCACUUUCCAGAUGUCACAAGUUUCUCCCACCUUUAUUCUCUUUAGUAACUCACCAAAAAUUUCUUGCUCUUAGGUACAAUUCAGUGUGGCUGCUUUUCUUGACUUAAAAACCUGUAUGAAUGAAAGGGGGUGGGAAGCGAGUCUUACAUUCAGUGAAAGAAAAACUGGACAAGAAAAGAGCAAAUCCUCUUGGUAUGCACACCUCUCUAGUGCUGGAUUUAAAUCCUCUCACUACAUAGUCUUUACCUAAUCCCUUCAUAUCUGUGUAAGUCAGGGUUUUACUACAGAAACAGAUAUAAUACAAGAUGUAGAAAUGCAUAGGAAUUUACAAGACUGGCUUACGACGGUCAGUCACAGAGUUGGGCAAGGAAACGUGCAGAAAGUGUCUGCACACUGCAGAUCGAAGGAUUCUGUCAGAGGUCUGGAGUUCAGUGCAAGUCUGUAUCAGGAGGCUGACGGGUCUGCAACAGGAGGCUGAGGGAUCCAAAGCGGAAGCCGAAGCGUCUUCUAGAAGCCAGGCGAGGGCCGGCGAUAUGGCUCAGUGGCACAAGAGCCUGCCUGGCAAGUGGGAGGUCCUGAGUUCGAUUCCUGGUACCCCCCCCCACAAAAAAAAAUAGAAGCCAGGCAGUAGCUUCCAAGCUGAAGGCGAAGACUGGAGGUCCUCUGAAGAGCAGAGACCCUGUCUGUUCCUCCUUGGUUCCCUUUUCUACCAUCCAGGCGAUGCUCCACCCUAGGGCGGGUCCUCUACAACCUAGGGCGCAGAAUUGCUGAGCUGAUCUAGUUAAGCUUCUAAACUUCCCAGGUUGACACAAUCAAUCAACCACUACGCUAUCCUAAAUGGGUAAUUUCCUUAGCUCGUACAUAAGUGGGCACCAGGGGCAGGGAGAGUGGAUCAGAACCCAAUCAGAGCAUAUGUCACUGGAAGAAUAUACUGAAUUAUAAUUUGGUUCAAGAAUCUUCUCAGCCUAAGGCCCUUGACCAAGCUGAGUUCAUCCUGGAUAUUUUUCUUUAUGGAGACCCUACUAUCAGAUCAAACAAGUCAAAAUACACUCACAAUCAUAAUGGCAGUGCUAGGGGAUUUAAAUGGAUUUGUUUGAUGAUAACGAUGAUGAUGAUUUAGUCUCACUGGGGAUGAAAUCUGACUUAGUUACUUUUCUCUUUGCCGAGACAAAAUACUCAACACCCAGAGUUAAAGAAGGAAAGGUUUGUUUUGGCUUUCAUUUGUAGAGGUUUCGGUCCAUAUAAGUUGGCUCCAAGGCAGGGUGGCAUAGCAGAGGGGCAUGGCAGAGGAGAAGCAGUUUAUGGCAGGCAGAGGCAGAAAGGUAGCAGCAGCAAUCACAGCCAUGCCUGCCUUCAUAUUUCAUCCAGGACAUCCGUCCUUUUGGCCGUGUUACCCAUAUUCAGGGUAACGUGGAUAUGUUAAUCCCAGCAUCACAUACCCUAUAGCAGCCACCACUGAAAAACCCCACCGAUGACUGCCUGAGCCUUCGGGAGACAUCUAGACCUAGGCAUAACAUUCUGCACCCAGCCCUCAAAAGACUCAGUGCAUCCUUUUACGCAAAAGGCAUUUAGUCCGUCUCUAAGAUUUGCUGAAGUCCUAACAGUUUCACCAUCGCUGAAAAGUCCAAGUCCAAAGUCUCUCCUGAGAUUUUUUUUUUUUUUUUUUUUGGUUUUUCUCCGGUACCGGGAACCGAACUCACAACCUUGCGCUUGCCAGGCAGGCGCUUUGCCGCUGAGCUAAA